UUCAGUCUGCUGGAUUAGGACCAGCAUCAUCCAGGAUGCUGACAGAAGCAGGCAUAUUGUUUCUGUAUUUUAAACAACCAUCCAUGGGUGAGGACCUGAAUGGGGCUGAAUUGGGCUGUUGUAUUACCCUUGAUCCAGAAUCUGCCACAUGAAGCUGUGUGCCAGCCCUGAACACCACCACUGUUUGUGUUCCCCCUUCAUACCACCAUUUGGCUGUGUGUAAUUGGUCCUAUAAGAGUUCCAUCAUAUUUCCAGAUGACUAUCCAUCACAUCGUCAGUAAUCUUCAGAAUGUUUAUUAAAGCAGGUCAUUAUUUCAA